UACGGUGAUGAGAGUGUCUCUGAGAAA
rnacentral:piRNA from 1 species